GACGAACGCUGGCGGCGUGCUUAACACAUGCAAGUCGAACGGAAAGGCCCUGCUUUUGUGGGGUGCUCGAGUGGCGAACGGGUGAGUAACACGUGAGUAACCUGCCCUUGACUUUGGGAUAACUUCAGGAAACUGGGGCUAAUACCGGAUAGGAGCUCCUGCUGCAUGGUGGGGGUUGGAAAGUUUCGGCGGUUGGGGAUGGACUGGCGGCUUAUCAGCUUGUUGGUGGGGUAGUGGCUUACCAAGGCUUUGACGGGUAGCCGGCCUGAGAGGGUGACCGGCCACAUUGGGACUGAGGGACGGCCCAGAGUCCUACGGGAGGCAGCAGUGGGGAAUAUUGCACAAUGGGCGGAAGCCUGAUGCAGCAACGCCGCGUGCGGGAUGACGGCCUUCGGGGUGUAAACCGCUUUCGCCUGUGACGAAGCGUGAGUGACGGUAAUGGGUAAAGAAGCACCGGCUAACUACGUG
rnacentral:rRNA from 1 species